rnacentral:rRNA from 1 species
GACAGAGGGUGCAAACGUUGCUCGGAAUUACUGGGCGUAAAGCGCAUGUAGGCGGCUCCGUAAGUCGGAUGUGAAAGCCCUCGGCUUAACCGAGGAAGUGCAUUCGAUACUGCAGAGCUAGAGUACCGGAGAGGGUAGUGGAAUUCCCGGUGUAGCGGUGAAAUGCGUAGAUAUCGGGAGGAACAUCAGUGGCGAAGGCGGCUACCUGGCCCAAUACUGACACUCGAGGUGCGA